CUCUUCAUUCUCAGUGACCCGCUCACGGUAGUUGGCGAUUGGCCUCUUACUGGUCGUUGCCUCGCGAUACUCCUGAGCCAAGUCCACUCCUCUCGAUCCUGAUUGGCGAUCUCACUCAUCCUUCGCUGCCAGAACCUGAGUUCGAGGCUUCAAGCUCAGCUCCGUGCACCCUCAUUAGAAUAACCUUUUGCUGCGCCAUUUUUUUUUUCCUUAAAAACCCUUGCUUUUCCCCUAAAGAUUUUCUUUUUUCAAUUGGUAAACAAUUUUACCCUCUUGGAGUACCUCAACUUGGCAUGUUAAGAGAUUUCUCUUGGGCAGCCAGACCACUUCCAAUUUCUGUUAAUAUUAGACAGCAGAUUCAACGAUUAAGAUAUCUGCAGAUGGAGGAAGAGUCACAGACGCAGACACCAAAAGAAGUCCAUGUUCAC
rnacentral:misc_RNA from 1 species